rnacentral:rRNA from 1 species
UUGACCUCGGAUCAGGUAGGGCUACCCGCUGAACUUAAGCAUAUCAAUAAGCGGAGGAAAAGAAACCAACAGGGAUUGCCUCAGUAACGGCGAGUGAAGCGGCAAGAGCUCAAAUUUGAAAUCUGGCUCCUUCGGGGCCCGAGUUGUAAUUUGGAGAGGAUGCUUCGGGCGUGGCCCCCAUCUAAGUGCCCUGGAACGGGCCGUCAUAGAGGGUGAGAAUCCCGUCUGGGAUGGGUGGUCCCGCCCGUGUGAAGCUCCUUCGAAGAGUCGAGUUGUUUGGGAAUGCAGCUCUAAGAGGGUGGUAAAUUUCAUCUAAAGCUAAAUAUUGGCCGGAGACCGAUAGCGCACAAGUAGAGUGAUCGAAAGAUGAAAAGCACUUUGAAAAGAGAGUUAAACAGCACGUGAAAUUGUUGAAAGGGAAGCGUUGGCAACCAGACUCGCCCGGGAGGGCUCAGCCGGCACGUGUGCCGGUGCACUCCCCCCCGGGCGGGCCAGCGUCGGUUUGGGCGGUCGGUCAAAGGCCCCGGGAAUGUAGCACCCUCCGGGGUGCCUUAUAGCCCGAGGCGCCAUGCGACCUGCCCGGACCGAGG